rnacentral:piRNA from 1 species
UACACUUUGAGUUUUUUGUGUUAG